rnacentral:tRNA from 1 species
GGCUUUGUAGUUGAUUAACAACAUUAAAUUGCAGCUUUAAAAGUGUAGCUAUACCAAAGCUU